rnacentral:rRNA from 1 species
AUUGAACGCUGGCGGCAGGCCUAACACAUGCAAGUCGAACGGUAACAGGAAGCAGCUUGCUGCUUCGCUGACGAGUGGCGGACGGGUGAGUAAUGUCUGGGAAGCUGCCUGAUGGAGGGGGAUAACUACUGGAAACGGUAGCUAAUACCGCAUAAUGUCGCAAGACCAAAGAGGGGGACCUUCGGGCCUCUUGCCAUCGGAUGUGCCCAGAUGGGAUUAGCUUGUUGGUGGGGUAACGGCUCACCAAGGCGACGAUCCCUAGCUGGUCUGAGAGGAUGACCAGCCACACUGGAACUGAGACACGGUCCAGACUCCUACGGGAGGCAGCAGUGGGGAAUAUUGCACAAUGGGCGCAAGCCUGAUGCAGCCCUGCCGCGUGUAUGAAGAAGGCCUUCGGGUUGUAAAGUACUUUCAGCGGGGAGGAAGGGAGUAAAGUUAAUACCUUUGCUCAUUGACGUUACCCGCAGAAGAAGCACCGGCUAACUCCGUG